AUUGAACGCUGGCGGCAGGCCUAACACAUGCAAGUCGAGCGGUUGAGGUAGCUUGCUACCGAUACAGCGGCGGACGGGUGAGUAAUACAUGGGAAUCUGCCUGGUAGUGGGGGACAACGUUUCGAAAGGAACGCUAAUACCGCAUACGCCCUACGGGGGAAAGGGGGGGAUCUUCGGACCUCUCGCUAUCAGAUGAGCCCAUGUCAGAUUAGCUUGUUGGUGAGGUAAAGGCCCACCAAGGCGACGAUCUGUAACUGGUCUGAGAGGAUGAUCAGUCACACUGGAACUGAGACACGGUCCAGACUCCUACGGGAGGCAGCAGUGGGGAAUAUUGGACAAUGGGCGCAAGCCUGAUCCAGCCAUGCCGCGUGUGUGAAGAAGGCCUUAGGGUUGUAAAGCACUUUCAGUGGGGAGAAAGGCCUUUUACUUAAUACGUAAGAGGAUUGAUGUUACUCACAGAAGAAGCACCGGCUAACUCCGUGCCAGCCGCCGCAGUAA
rnacentral:rRNA from 1 species